GCUGGGCAUGGUGGCAUAUGCCUGUGGUCCCAGCUACUCAGAAGGCUGAGAUGGGAGGAUCACCUGAGCCUUGGAGGUCAAGGCUGCAGUGAGCCUUGGUUGAGACACUGCACUCCAGCCUGGGUNNNNNNNNNNACCCAGGCUGGAGUGCAGUGUCUCAACCAAGGCUCACUGCAGCCUUGACCUCCAAGGCUCAGGUGAUCCUCCCAUCUCAG
rfam:Gorilla gorilla gorilla genomic chromosome, chr5, whole genome shotgun sequence